rnacentral:lncRNA from 1 species
UUGUAAUCCUUAAAGUCGAAGGGGAACGCUAGAUAACGGUUUGUAUACAAACAAACACAAUCACACACAUUGUUGGGGUAUGAAUUAGACCAUAAACUGCAAAAAGAAAAGGCGCUGUAGAGAAUGCACGCUUAAAGUCGAAGGGGAUCAUAGAUAUCCACUUAUUAAAACUAUUAGGCCAUUUAUCUAUGACAUUGCUAUCUGGUUUAAUUUUUUUUCCCUUGUAUAGAUAGCUUGGGAAUGGAGCCUAAAAAAUAGUGCUUGGGAAUAGAUAAUUACUCUGCGCCUUUGAAACCUCUGUAGACUACGUGAUCUAGCAUCCUUAAUAAUGUGUUGACUAGCACAAGUGCCAGAUGUUAUGCCACGUACAAGGACAUGCUUUAGAACUGCCAGACUUAUUGUUGUAGUAAGUCUAUUUUUGUAGUUACUUGUUCUUUUGAUAUUCUUUGCAUAUCAUUGAUUUUAUUUGUUUUAUGCAUGCUUAAUAUGUUUUUCACUUUGAAGUUUAGGGUUUCAAUAUGUUUUUGUUUUCUUAUUUGUAUUAUUCUUUGUGACUAAAAUCUGGUAACGCUAGAUAAAGGCUUUGUGGAUACAGCACACACAUUGCUGGAGCAUGAAUUAGAAUAGGGCCUCCAGGAAGAAAAGGCGUCGAAGUGAGAAUGCAGGCUCAAAAGUAGAAGGGUCAUAGAUAUCCACUUGUUCAGACUAUUAGGCCAUUUAUAUUUGGCAUUGUUAUUAUCUGGCCUAAUUUUCAGACCUUGUGUGCAUAGUCUGGGAAUGGAGACUACAGAAGUAGUGCUUGGGUAGUAGAUACUUUAGCGCCUUUGAUACCUGUAGACCACGUGAUCUAGCUUCCUUAGUAAUGUGUUGACUGUUGGCUGGGAGUCAUCGAACUUAUUAUUGUAACUCUUCUCUAUCUUUCUUUCUUUGUUAUCGCUCACUUGUUAUCCGUUGCAUAUGGU